AGAACGUGGCGGAGGAGGCAUCAUGUUCAGGAAGAUGAUUGUUCCAGGAUGCGGCUCAUCGCUCGCACUCUGGGUGUGCUGACAUUGCCAUUUUCCGAAACAUGAGAAAUCUGGCUGCAUAAUCUGUGGGUAGCAGGGGACUAUACCAGCAUUCCUCCUUG
rnacentral:snRNA from 14 species